rnacentral:rRNA from 1 species
GUGCUUGCACCGGUCCAAGGAGUUGCGAACGGGUGAGUAACGCGUAGGUAACCUACCUCAUAGCGGGGGAUAACUAUUGGAAACGAUAGCUAAUACCGCAUGACAAUGGAGGACUCAUGUCUUUCAUUUAAAAGGUGCAAUUGCAUCACUAUGAGAUGGACCUGCGUUGUAUUAGCUAGUUGGUGAGGUAACGGCUCACCAAGGCGACGAUACAUAGCCGACCUGAGAGGGUGAUCGGCCACACUGGGACUGAGACACGGCCCAGACUCCUACGGGAGGCAGCAAUAGGGAAUCUUCGGCAAUGGACGGAAGUCUGACCGAGCAACGCCGCGUGAGUGAAGAAGGUUUUCGGAUCGUAAAGCUCUGUUGUUAGAGAAGAAUGAUGGUGGGAGUGGAAAAUCCACCAUGUGACGGUAACUAACCAGAAAGGGACGGCUAACUACGUGCCAGCAGCCGCGGUAAUACGUAGGUCCCGAGCGUUGUCCGGAUUUAUUGGGCGUAAAGCGAGCGCAGGCGGUUCUUUAAGUCUGAAGUUAAAGGCAGUGGCUCAACCAUUGUACGCUUUGGAAACUGGAGAACUUGAGUGCAGAAGGGGAGAGUGGAAUUCCAUGUGUAGCGGUGAAAUGCGUAGAUAUAUGGAGGAACACCGGUGGCGAAAGCGGCUCUCUGGUCUGUAACUGA